GACGAACGCUGGCGGCGCGCCUAACACAUGCAAGUCGAACGGAGCUGAGAGAAGCUUGCUUUUCUUAGCUUAGUGGCGAACGGGUGAGUAACGCGUGAGUAACCUGCCCUGGAGUGGGGGACAACAGUUGGAAACGACUGCUAAUACCGCAUAAGCCCACGAUCUGGCAUCGGAUUGAGGGAAAAGGAUUUAUUCGCUUCAGGAUGGACUCGCGUCCAAUUAGCUAGUUGGUGAGGUAACGGCCCACCAAGGCGACGAUUGGUAGCCGGACUGAGAGGUUGAACGGCCACAUUGGGACUGGGACACGGCCCAGACUCCUACGGGAGGCAGCAGUGGGGGAUAUUGCACAAUGGGGGAAACCCUGAUGCAGCGACGCCGCGUGGAGGAAGAAGGUUUUCGGAUUGUAAACUCCUGUCGUUAGGGACGAUAAUGACGGUACCUAACAAGAAAGCACCGGCUAACUACGUG
rnacentral:rRNA from 1 species